rnacentral:rRNA from 1 species
UUUGGUGGCGAUGGCGGAGGGGAACCACGCGUUCCCAUACCGAACACGACCGUUAAGCCCUC